rnacentral:lncRNA from 1 species
UCCGCACUUCGUGUACGCCACCACACCUUUGCAUCAUCCGUCAAGUACAUUGGUAUGAUCACCACCUUAUCGGCAUCGGCUAUACGUGCAGCGUAGAAAUACUGCUCCAUAUCCCACAGGAAAUUUUCCAGUUCCUUGGCACAUCUUGCACCACCAUAAGGCUUCGGCUCCGGAAUCCUCAACUUAGUGCGCUCAUCAGUUCUAGGGGCAGAAUUUUGUAAUGCCCUUCGAAGAUCAGCCACUUCUCGUCGCAACUCUUCCUUCUCU